UAGGGAAUCUUCGGCAAUGGACGAAAGUCUGACCGAGCAACGCCGCGUGAGUGAAGAAGGUUUUCGGAUCGUAAAACUCUGUUGUUAGAGAAGAACAAGGACGUUAGUAACUGAACGUCCCCUGACGGUAUCUAACCAGAAAGCCACGGCUAACUACGUGCCAGCAGCCGCGGUAAUACGUAGGUGGCAAGCGUUGUCCGGAUUUAUUGGGCGUAAAGCGAGCGCAGGCGGUUUCUUAAGUCUGAUGUGAAAGCCCCCGGCUCAACCGGGGAGGGUCAUUGGAAACUGGGAGACUUGAGUGCAGAAGAGGAGAGUGGAAUUCCAUGUGUAGCGGUGAAAUGCGUAGAUAUAUGGCGGAACACCAGUGGCGAAGGCGGCUCUCUGGUCUGUCACUGACGCUGAGGCUCGAAAGCGUGGGGAGCAAACAGG
rnacentral:rRNA from 1 species